rnacentral:rRNA from 1 species
CCUACGGGUGGCAGCAGUGAGGAAUAUUGGUCAAUGGGCGGAAGCCUGAACCAGCCAAGUAGCGUGCAGGAUGACGGCCCUACGGGUGGUAAACUGCUUUUAUACGGGAAUAACGCGCCUUACGUGUAGGGGUUUGCAUGUACCGUAUGAAUAAGGACCGGCUAAGUUAGUUCCAGCAGCCGCGGGACUACGGAAGGUCCGGGGGUUGUCCGGAUUUGUUGGGUUUAACGGGAGCGUAGGCCGCAUGUCAAGCUUGCUGUGAAAUGUCCGGGCUCAACCCGGGCCUUGCAGCGCAAACUGGCGUGCUUGAGUCCGCGAGAGGCAGGCGGAAUUCGUCGUGUAGCGGUGAAAUGCUUAGAUAUGACGAAGAACCCCGAUUGCGAAGGCAGCUUGCUGCAGCGGAACUGACGCUGAUGCUCGAAAGCGCGGGUAUCGAACAGGAUUAGAUACCCUUGUAGUC